AUGACUGGGAGGCAUGCCUCACAGUGGAGACGUGCUUGAGCUCUGAUGGGCAGCUUGGACUGGUCAUGUGACCAAUCAAGGAAGUGUAUGAAGAGAGACAGACAACGGAGCUGAGCAGCAUGGCAGGGGAGGAGGGAAAUGAGACCUGCAGUGCCAGCAGCAGCCACCCGUGCACAGUGACUGGGAACAAGACCUGUCCCAUCUCCCACGCAGUGCAGUGGAAGCCAUUGGAGGGGCAAGACUUGGCAUUCUAACAUAUUGACACUUCAUCGCUCUCUAUGUGCUGAACAUUGAUAUGGUUAACGUUGAUAUUAUGACCCUGUUGCAAUUAUGACUGUCGACAUAUUAUACCCAACCCAAAAUAUCUGGUAAUAAUAAACCAUCAUGAGUGUAUACUGUAUACUUACAUCUAGUGACAGAAUAAAGGUGUGGCUUGUCAUGGUUAGUAGCUAAUGUUGGUAAAUGGUGCGCUCCGUGCCUGUCUCCUUAUGUAUGGGAUUACAUGGGCACAUCCUCUAGUGUCUGUCCACUAGUGCCAGUAUCUCAGGGAGGCAGAGCUAUGAUCCAGAGCGCCUCCAUCUUAGUGACAGUGUGUCAGCAGAGCGCGCAGUGAAGUGUGUGUGUGUGAGCUGAGAGAGAUUUACAGCGUUCCUCCGUGUACCGAACCUCCGGAGCUAAUAUAGAGCCGGGCAGUGCAUCGCUUCUCCUUCACAGCGGGAGUCAGACUGCAUGGCCGUGCAGUCCUCUGUCCCUUACCACCGGAGCAUAUCCUCACAGUCAUACUGCAGCCACAUCAGGACACUGAUAAGUACCGCUACCAAUACCUGUGUUACCCUUGAUUUUAUAUCAGACCAAUUGUCUACUAUUGCUGCAUACUCAAGUCACCUGUGUGUAUACCAGAAUAAACCUGCAUUGCUGUUUAACUCA